GACGAACGCUGGCGGCGUGCUUAACACAUGCAAGUCGAACGAUGAAGAAAAGAAUUGAAGCUUCGGCAGAAAUUCAUUUCGGAUUAGUGGCAGACGGGUGAGUAACGCGUGAGCAACCUACCUCUUACAAAGGGAUAGCCUCGGGAAACCGGGAUUAAUACCAUAUAACAUUGCGACGAAGCAUUUCGAUGCAAUCAAAGCUACGGCGGUAAGAGAUGGGCUCGCGUCCCAUUAACCAGAUGGUGAGGUAACGGCUCACCAUAGUAACGAUGGGUAACCGGCCUGAGAGGGUGAACGGUCACACUGGAACUGAGACACGGUCCAGACUCCUACGGGAGGCAGCAGUGGGGAAUAUUGCACAAUGGAGGGAACUCUGAUGCAGCGACGCCGCGUGAGUGAUGAAGGAAUUCGUUUCGUAAAACUCUGUUCUAUGGGAAGAAAAGGACUGCACCAUAGGAGAAAGCUCCGGCUAAAUACGUG
rnacentral:rRNA from 1 species